CGAAGCAACAGCCUGACUUCGGAUUUCAUAGAGAAUCUGAGGAAAUUCCAGCCAUUCUUUCAUGCCGAACAGAGGCUUUUCCUUCCUGGAAAAAUCUUUGUCAAUCGAGAGGUUGGGCUCUGUUACAGAAACGACACGCCCUUAUUCAGAUGGCGAUGAUAGAGUGAAGUCUGUGGUAACACACGAUUAUUUAAGCUCUUGAGGACGAAUAAGGAAUCGAUGAGACGAACACCCUCGGUGAAUGCAAGCAGAGCAUUUGAUCUUUCACAAGAUCUAGGAGAGUUGCGCUUAGGUUGAUGUCAGGAACCUAAAUUAGGUGACUUAUUUAGGUGAACAGAAGCUGGAUUACUCAUUGGAGCG
rnacentral:RNase_P_RNA from 1 species